CCUACGGGUGGCAGCAGUGAGGAAUAUUGGUCAAUGGGAGAGAUCCUGAACCAGCCAAGCCGCGUGAGGGAAGACGGCUCUAUGGGUUGUAAACCUCUUUUGUCGGAGAACACACCCCGGGACGAGUCCCGGACUGCGUGUAUCCGACUAAAAAGCAUCGGCUAACUCCGUGCCUGCAGCCGCGGUAAUCCGGGGGAUGCGCGCGUUAUCCGUAUUUAUUGGGUUUAAGGGGUGCGAAGGCGGUCCGUUAAGUCCGCGGGAAACUUGCGGAGCUAAACCCCGUCGAGCCGAUGAAACUGGCAGACUUGAGGAGGCGAGAAGUACGCGGAAUGCGCGGUGUAGCGGUGAAAUGCAUAGAUAUCGCGCAGAACACCGAUUGCGAAGGCAGCGUACCGGCGCCAGACUGACGCUGAGGCACGAAAGCGUGGGGAUCGAACAGGAUUAGAUACCCCAGUAGUC
rnacentral:rRNA from 1 species